rnacentral:rRNA from 1 species
CAAUAGCGUAUAUUAAAGUUGUUGCGGUUAAAAAGCUCGUAGUUGGAUUUCUGCCGAGGACGACCGGUCCGCCCUCUGGGUGAGUAUCUGGCUUGGCCUGGGCAUCUUCUUGGAGAACGUAGCUGCACUUGACUGUGUGGUGCGGUAUCCAGGACUUUUACUUUGAGGAAAUUAGAGUGUUUCAAGCAGGCAUGCGCCUUGAAUACAUUAGCAUGGAAUAAUAAGAUAGGACCUCGGUUCUAUUUUGUUGGUUUCUAGAGCUGAGGUAAUGAUUAAUAGGGACAGUUGGGGGUAUUCGUAUUCAGUUGUCAGAGGUGAAAUUCUUAGAUUUCCGGAAGACGAACUACUGCGAAAGCAUUUACCAAGGAUGUUUUCAUUAAUCAAGAACGAAAGUAUGGGGAUCGAAGAUGAUUAGAUACCAU